GGGCACAUGGUAUAGCUUGGAUAGCACGACCGGCUUCGGACCGGUAAACAGGGGUUCGAAUCCUCUUGUGCCCG
rnacentral:tRNA from 1 species